rnacentral:rRNA from 1 species
GUAGUCAUAUGCUUGUCUCAAAGAUUAAGCCAUGCAUGUCUAAGUAUAAGCAAUUAUACCGUGAAACUGCGAAUGGCUCAUUAAAUCAGUUAUCGUUUAUUCGAUGGUCCUCUUCUUGGAUAACCGUGGUAAUUCUAGAGCUAAUACAUGCGAAAAACCCCGACUCACGAAGGGGUGUAUUUAUUAGAUAAAAAACCAAUGCCCUUCGGGGCUCCGUAGUGAUUCAUAAUAACUUAACGUAGCGCAUGGCCCUGCGCCGGCGCAAUAUCGUUCAAAUACCUGCCCUAUCAAGUUUCGAUGUGAGGGUAGUGUCCUCACAUGCUCGCAACGGGUAACGGGGA